GACCCGUUUCUGCUGCCUCGUUCCGCAAGAUUGCCCGUCUCCAAUUCUCUUAAUCCGAUCUCUCUUUUGAUUUCAUGGGAUUCUGUAUCUCGGAUAAGGUUCUUUUUGCCGGUGGACACUUGUGCUUGUCGCUCGCCAUUGCUAUGUCACCGUUCGUCUCCUAGCCUAGGGUUUUGCACCAACGAACGAGGAAUUGGGAUGUGGCAGCUGGAUAAUCUUGGGAAGAACAGACCAUGAAGAUGAAGAUGUUGCCUACAAUCCCUGGCAUGGCUCGGAUAAUUUAGGGAGUCAGUGCUGUUGUUUGGCAUCGUAUUCUAUGCUCUCUGUGCUUUCAUAAAGGAUGGUCCAGAACAAGGUGCUUGAUAUUUGCUCUGUUCCUCACAAUGUGUUGCUAUCAGACCUUUGUCUUAUGUUCGUUGCAUUAUUGACCUAAUGUGCUCUUCUUUGAAGCGAUGGUGCAGAGUCAUAGAUGAGAUUCUGUCGAUGAAAGAUAUUGCAUUGGGUAGAAUCAUUUUGAUGGCUGUUAAUCUGUAUCACUCACCAAGGUAUCUCAAGCAGUUUCAGAAGCAGAAUCUUGUGCCGGAGGGCCAAGUAGAUAUAAGUCGGUGGCUAUCGGCCGUGAAAACAUGAACAGAGACCACGAGACGAGCGAUACCGAUGAGCCGCAUCAGAAUGCAACUUGAAUUGGUCAGUGAACCGAACCCUUUUUUUCUCCUGUUGAUGUGGAGGCAAUAACUUUUUCUCUUUUUUUUUUUUUUGCAUCAAAAUGAAACAUAUAAUCUAUUUCUUGGCGGGUGGUCACCGCCUCUCCUUAUUCUAAGGAUCUCAAGAAAAUCAAAGUGGCAACCCAAGUGCUUCAAACAUUGCAAUCACUUGCACUGCUUUACCCGGAGAAAAACUAACGUGUAAGAAGUGAAGUAGGCUGUUGGGCGUACCCGAGGAUAGCAGGAAAAAUAUUCCCGGAUAAGCCUCAGCUCACAGUUAUCGGGAAUCAUCCCUAUGCCCACCUCGCAAGAAGGGACAUCAAACCUGAACCCAGAAGAAGUGCAAGAUGUGCUCCUAAUUGCAGCCUUCCAUUACUCUGCAUUCUGGGGUUCUUGAAAUCAGCGGCCAAGAGAUCGACCAGAGACAUGUAUAUUAGAAUUCCUGCAGAGGCAGCAUUGAAGAUGCCUUGGAUGAUAAGAGCAGUCGAGCUAGUCUCGUCGUAGCUAGAGGAAAUCGCAAUGCCGAGGGAGAUGCCGAUCGGAGCUGUGAGAGAGAAGAAGACUGCCAUGAUCACUGUUGCCUUGGCUCUGAACUUUGCCUGCCAGGGUAGAGGCAACAUAUGUAACAAGGCAAAACAUCAAAGCAGUAUCACUGUGUCAAGUUUGAUAGUUUUAUGAACACUAAAAUGAACAAUUUCUUAAGCCGGUCGGGUUGUGUUGCUGAACACUAAAUCAAGUCAAAAUAUGCCAUAUUAUUGAUCUUAAUGUUAAUCUUCGUUUUUGGUUUUUCUUUCUUUUGUGGGUCAGGUUCCUCCUGAAAUCUUUUUGACGAAUGGUUGUUGCAGAGAUCACUGUCAAAUGUUAAAAGGAUCACAGGAAGUGAAUCUCAUGCAGUUGCAGGAGCGAAGAACAUGGAAGUGGCGUUUGCCAAUUUGCAAAAGGUAUGAGAUGUCGCACCACCACCUUUUUACUUCCAACUUGUGGGAAUCAGAAUGUGAUGUCGAGAGUGAAGAAGAUGGAAGAAAGGAGUUCCCGAGUACCUGGACGAUGCAUCCACCGAGUCCUAUGCCUUCAAAGAAUUGAUGGAAGCUCAAGGCUGCAACCAGAGGCCUGAUGGUGGAGGAUGUUUCAGAUGCACCCAGCGAAAUGCCAAUGAUCACGGAAUGGACCAGAAUGCCCAGCUCCAGAACCUACACAUUUCCAAGUUGAAGCUCAUCAUCACUCUCUGAAAGAAGCAGCGGGAUUAAUAUGGAGGACUGCUACCCAUCAGCGACGACGCUUACUUGGGAGAUAACUCGGUGCCGGAUCUUGUCGGAGAGCGAAGCCUCCUCCGGCGAGCCCGCCGCCGCUGCCGAGCCAUGCGCAUGCCCGUGAGUUGCGUGCGUGUGGACGUGGACGUGGCCGGCGUGGUCGCGGGCGGACUCCUCGUCCCCCUUCCUCUCGUCCUUUUCCUCGACCGGCCGCGCCUUGCUGAAGUGCGACCUCUCGUAGUAGCUCGUGGCGAAGGAGUCGAUCAUCAAUGUCACCAUCGCGGAAGACAUGGCGAUGAACCCGGCGACCGGGAAGUCCUGCCACUGCUGCUCGCCCAGGCAGGGCGACGUCAAGCUCUCGAAUGCGUCCGGGAGGAUGUGUAUCAGUCCGGUGGCAAGUAUGACGCCUGCGGCGAAGGCCUUGAUCACGAAGAACACGUCGCUCUCGGGGCUCAUGGCUGCGAACGAUCUCCCCAGGAUCGGAAUUAGGACUCCCAUGGCACCUGCGCUUAGGAUCGCCGCGAUGGCUAUCAACUUUAGUGUUAGCGCCUUGGCGCUGUCUCGAGCUUCCCGUUUGGUGGUGCAGUCGCAGUCGCCCGAAGCUCGGAGCUGUGGGAAGAGGAGGAAGAGAGAAAGAAGAAUAAACGCAGCCUUCGUGGCCUUCUCCAUGGAACCGAACGCACACGAAGUGGCGAAGGGGGCGGUGGAGUGAUGUGAUGUCGUAGGGUGGUGGUAUGACAGUGAAGCAAAACCUUAAAUAGGAGAGAGAAAGGAUAUGAUGAGCUCAUGGUGGGGGUCGAUGGGACAAGAAGUGGGUGAGUUGGAUGAAGGAGCUUAAACUAAGGGAGAAGAACCCUUUGGUUGUUUGGAGGAGGACUGCACCGGGCACUGUGGAUGUUGACAUGAUGUUGUCAUCGCGGAUUAAUGAAUGAUCGGGGAGGAACAUUAGGAGGAGGCCCGACACGGGUGGUGGGGUGGCCAACUCCCGGGUCAAUUGCCUUUUUUCUACUGUGUGUAGGUCUCUCCUUUUACUGCACUGCCGAGUAUGUCGCCGGUGCAGAGAAUGUUACAUGCACACAACAUGUGAUCGCAAGCAAAUCUCCUUUUUUUUUCGUUUUA